AUCGGCUACUUGAUCAUGUGUCUU
rnacentral:siRNA from 1 species